GGUCGUAUAGCUCAGCUGGUAGAGCACAGUGCUAAUAACGCUGCGGCCCUGGGUUCGAGCCCCAGUAUGACCA
rnacentral:tRNA from 1 species